CUGUCCCGAGGCUUCGAGGUGGAGGAGGCGGGCGCGGCCGGGCGCCGCGGCCGCCCCGCCGAGCUGUGCUUCUACUCGGGCCGUGUGCUCGGCCACCCCGGCUCCCUCGUCUCGCUCAGCGCCUGCGGCGCCGCCGGCGGCCUGGUACUGCCCGCGCCACCUCCGGGUCGGCCCGUCUGGUUGGCCUCAUUCAGCUUGGGCAGGAGCAGGUGCUAAUCCA
rnacentral:sRNA from 1 species